GUGCACAGUGGGUGACAGUGAACCACUUCCCUGACACCACGUGCUUCACGUGCACUUGUUGAACAGGAGCCACGUGACCAACCCGCACUUAACAGUCGUCAGUUGGAAGUCGGAGCGGGCAGUCGAGUUUAAAGGCAAAGAUGAAGAUCCUAUUCUUGGUCAUCCUUGUCCUCUGCAUCGGUUCGAUGGAAUGCCAGAAAAAGGAAAGGCAAAGGAAAACCUCCAGCGAAAAAGAAUAUCUGCCAAAAGGAUAUGCGUUUCCUUGUGUCGGUCAUACGCGUGUGCAACGCAUACAGACGAGCCUCCCGAUUCCGCAUGAAAAACUGGGUUUCUUUGCGAAAAUACAUUCGUUAUGCACUGCUUGUGACCCUUAAAAAUAACAAACCGCCGCCGAAAGGCAAGCCAACAGCAAGCCAACAGCCAAGCCAACGCCCACGCCAACGCCCAAGCCAACGCCCACGCCAACGCCUAAACCUAAGGGCAAGGAUGGCAAAAAGAAUGAAACUCGCAGAUUCCAAGACGAGGACUUCAGUUUUGACGAUGCUGUUACUGGCAACUUCUUUGACGACGAAGAUUCUUUGAUCGCUGACGAUGACGAUCAAAGCGAAAACGCCGUGGACGAUGACGCUGAAGACUCUGAAUCCGAUGCUCUGUCUGAACAUUCAGAUGCAGAGGCCGAAAUCAAGAAACUCCGCCGAUAUCUGGAGCUCUCCGGCAGAUACAGGGACAAACGUGCCCCAAAACGGAAGGGCAAGAAGCGCCCUCCACCAAAGGACCCAUUCAGGAGUCUGAGGAUUCUCUGUAUCAAGAUGUCAAGGCUGUUGUACAAAGGGUGAAGGACCAGUGUUUUCAUACUGAAAAAACAACAAAAACAUCAAUAAAACUGGCUCAAGUGAA